rnacentral:rRNA from 1 species
CUGAUGCAGCGACGCCGCGUGAGGGAUGAAGGCCUUCGGGUUGUAAACCUCUUUCAGCAGGGACGAAGCGCAAGUGACGGUACCUGCAGAAGAAGCACCGGCUAACUACGUGCCAGCAGCCGCGGUAAUACGUAGGGUGCGAGCGUUGUCCGGAAUUACUGGGCGUAAAGAGUUCGUAGGCGGUUUGUCGCGUCGUCUGUGAAAACCCAUCGCUCAACGAUGGGCCGGCAGGCGAUACGGGCAGACUUGAGUACUGCAGGGGAGACUGGAAUUCCUGGUGUAGCGGUGAAAUGCGCAGAUAUCAGGAGGAACACCGGUGGCGAAGGCGGGUCUCUGGGCAGUAACUGACGCUGAGGAACGAAAGCGUGGGUAGCAAACAGGAUUAGAUACCCUGGUAGUCCACGCCGUAAACGGUGGGCGCUAGGUGUGGGUUCCUUCCACGGGAUCUGUGCCGUAGCUAACGCAUUAAGCGCCCCGCCUGGGGAGUACGGCCGCAAGGCUAAAACUCAAAGGAAUUGACGGGGGCCCGCACAAGCGGCGGAGCAUGUGGAUUAAUUCGAUGCAACGCGAAGAACCUUACCUGGGUUUGACAUAUACUGGAAAGCUGCAGAGAUGUAGCCCCCCUUGUGGCCGGU